AUUGAACGCUGGCGGCAUGCCUUGCACAUGCAAGUCGAACGGCAGCGGACCUUCGGGUGCCGGCGAGUGGCGAACGGGUGAGUAAUAUAUCGGAACGUACCUUUCAGUGGGGGAUAACGUAGCGAAAGUUACGCUAAUACCGCAUAUUCUGUGAGCAGGAAAGCAGGGGGAUCGCAAGACCUUGCGCUGAUUGAGCGGCCGAUAUCAGAUUAGCUAGUUGGUGAGGUAAAGGCUCACCAAGGCGACGAUCUGUAGCGGGUCUGAGAGGAUGACUCCGCCACACUGGAACUGAGACACGGUCCAGACUCCGUACGGGAGGCAGCAGGUGGGGUAAUUUUGGACAAGUGGGCGCAAGCCUGAUCCAGCCACGCCGCGUGAGUGAAG
rnacentral:rRNA from 1 species